rnacentral:lncRNA from 1 species
CACUUGAGUAGAUCUCUAUAAAUGUUGUCAUGCUACCUUUGUCUAUUUACUAGCAAGUGUUGGUUUGGAAGUACUCGCCAUACUUCCAUUGGCAUUUAAAUUAAGCAUGGUGCUUAGGUUAAAUAGCCUUCCUUAAUCUGAUUAGACAUGGAGUCUAGUUUGGUUAUUGAACUAAAAAAAACUGCUUGAGUAGAUAUUGGUAUAUUUUGUCGGACUAACCCCUACAGAAAAACUUUCAAUAUCGAUUUGGGAAGUCCUGAGAUAAACUCACAUCAGAGACGAAGAGAGUGACACAUGAAGUUUAACAAUUUGCACAAGAAGGACAUAGCUCAUUCAUCAUAGAGAGAUGAUCCAUGGAGGGUGCCACAAACACGAUGCACAACCGCUAAGAAAGGAAAGCUUCCACAAGAUGAUACUGUACCAUCACUCUUCAAGCAAGGUAACAUCUUAAGGUACUUGACUAUCACUUUUAUAAGCUUCUCCUUGGUUCUGGCGUUCAUAUAAAUAAAAGAGACAAACGUGUAUGAUUUACAACUCUAGGUUAACGAACCCAACUGAUUCAACAUGUUUAGUCCUUUAAUCCUUGUUCUUAGUACUACCUCCAUGAUCCCACACUCCUAAUCAUAUGAGCUAAAAUGUUACACAUUCAAUCAUUGAGAGAUAUAAAGAAAAAGACAUAUACAUAGAUAGAUUAUCUUUCCAUAAGGUUGAGCGAUCUGAUCUGACAAAUAUUAUAAGUGCUACACUCAUGAACUUUUCAUCCAUCAACUUUGUCUUGCUCACUAUGCUUAAGGUUAGAGAAGAACAAAUACACUUUUGGUUCUGUUGGUGUUUUCCACCAACAGGGCCCAUGCACUUGAUCUCUGCCUUGUCUCUAUGAGCAGGUACACUACGAGCACAAACACACUGAGCAAGAUAAUGCUAACACCGCACUUCGAACUGCUGGGCAAACGAAGAACAUGGGUGACAUCGUAUUAAAAGGUGCAGACGUCAAGGUCCGCACCUGAAUCAAAUGACGCACCUGAAGAAUGAACACGGUGAGAAGUCUUGUCAAGAAGACUUAAAACAUUGAACCCUCGCCGAAAGGUAAGAUUGGUAGUUAUCCAUAUUUAUCCUUUCUGCAUUCCCUUUUCCCUUUAAUUAUUUACUUUCCUUAAAUAAAUUAUUAGUUAAUCAUGCUAUCUUGAAAAGAAAAUAAAAAUGUUAAAAAAAUACUAAGCCCCAUGUGAGUAUACGAGUGGCAUAAAACCCAUAAGUACCUUCACUGUGGUGGCAUAAAAAUAAAAUAAAUAUUUCUUUUCUACUUUAUAAAAUAAAAAUAUAAAAACAGGGAGUAAUAUUUAUUGAGGAAGCUCAACGUGAUGAAGGCUAGAUAUUUAUGCUAACACUUAAUUAGUUCCACAAGCUUUGUUGUCUAUUUGAGCUCCACAGAAUUUAAGAAUCAAGAAGACUAGCAGACGGAGGACAUUCUAAUCGCUGUCAGAAUGCUGCUGACUUUCAAAUACACCUCUGCCACCUGCUAGCUACAUCAAGAGAAAUUACGUCAAAAUUCAGCUUGGGGGAGAGCACCCCUAUUUAUCUCGCUAAGUAUUUCUACCUAUCUUUAUACUUAUAUUAUAUUAGAAUAUUAAAAUACAUAAACUAUGAAAAACCAAAUAAAGAUUUUAUGCUUAUAUAUAUAUAUAUCUUUUCUUAGUUUGCUAAAUAAAUAAAUAAAUAAAUAAAGUUUGCUAUGAAUCUUAAUAAUAAAACUCUAGCAUGGAUAAGAUGAAUAGUUGCUCUGCCUAAUUUGCAAAUUUGAAGUUCUCUCUCAAGUAUAGACAUAACUGUUAUAAUUUAAAGCUUGCUCUAGAUCUAAACUUGUGGGAUGAAAACUUGAUCUGAAAUCUAAGUUGUUAACGGAUAAGAUAUGGGAAGGUUGAGCUGCUGUUUAUCUGUUCCUAGAGAUGCUAGAAUUCUGGAGAAUUUUAUCUUUGAAAAUCUUUAAAAUGUUGCAUGAUGAGUUCCUGUAUGAUGAGAGUUUAAAUUCCUACCACAGCCAUAUAUACAUGCUUGCUAGACUUUGAGCCACACAUUUAUUUACUACUUAUGAGCAUUGAGUGUGAUCAAGCUGUGUAGACCCUUAGGAGCUUGUCAUGCGGUUAAAUCAAGAUUCACUUGCACGUUCACUCAUAUAUAUGCUACUUCUACUCCGGAAGUACCAUCCACAUAUAUCCAUCAAUUUCCAUCUCCAGAAUCACCUAAAAAUAUUGUACUCCUAAUUCGGGAGAGAAUAGCCAAAAACAUCUGUGUUUUUCCCUUGUGAAAUAAAUGCUCAAGUUAUCUUGCUACUACCACUUGCUAUAUUGUCUCAAGAGAUGAGUGCUCUGAAAAAAAAAGAAAAGAAAAAAAAAUAAACGAGGAAAUAAAAAAGGGGCAAGUGCUCGAAACCUCGAAAGAAAAGAAAAAGAGUGAGACGAGAGGUAAAAAUGGACAAGUGUCCGACAGUAGAAUUAGGGGUACAAGAUACCCACCUGAGAGGAAAGAAAAAGAAGAGCAUCUCAUUCUCCUCAUAAAGUUUCAAAACGCAAGGAAGGUAUGUAUCCCCUCAUAAGAGCAAAAGUAGAAUUAGACUUUCACCAUUGUUAUCACCAUCAUCACUAUACACCAUUCAUUCGCCACACAUGCACAUCUUGAUUUGGCUUAUUGAUUUGUUUCUUUUGGAUCCAUGGUUUGACUAUACAAUAAAUGUCUUGUAAGUAUGUAUACUUUAUCUCCCACCUAUGAGCUCCAGAUAUUAAAGCCUUAUUAGAGUAGGGUGAGAGAGAAGGCAAUGUCACUAUGCCUUAUACCACAAAUACCACAUAUUUUGAGAGAAGGCAUAUACCAUCACUGCCUUGGUAAAGAUCCAGAAAUACCACAAAAGAGAGAUAUGAGAGAGUCAUACAAGGAAUCUCUGAGUUUUAUUUGAAAAUCUGCAAAAACUCCAGAGCUAUAGCUGAUCAAGAAUAAGAGACAUGGCACUUGGCUAGACUGUUCUAUCUUUUAACCACUCAAGACAGAAGUGACGGUUACAAGUCCCAUAGUGAAAGGUAAAGUAAGUAAGUUUUAAGUCUUGACAGUUUAAUCUAACUCAGAGAUGUGACCUCAUUUAAAAGCAUGUGUACUGUCAAUUUUUAAAAGAUAUUGCAACAACUUAUGAUCCAUAGCUGAGUCUAUCCUUGCUCAGGGACGAGCAAGAGGUAAGCUUGGGGGAGUUUGUUGACGGUCCUUAAGUAUCAAAUUUAACUAUCAAAUAAACAAAGAAAAGGAUCCAAAUGAAAUCAACAUCGAGACUUAGGGUUUUAUCUGACAGAAUUCCACGAGUUUUGGUGUUUGUCUAUUUCUGCAGGGGGGUAUCAGGAAUACGGAAGAAAGGCCCACACGUCGGGAUUACGUAGAGAUAUUAAUGUGCUGCGCAAUUAUCUUACAUCUAGAAGACUCCAGAAGCCACGAGGCCGAAGCGGAGGCGAAACGGGGCCAGAGACAGGGCGCCCGCCCUGUCCUACAGGGCGCCCGCCCACCUCCUGUGGCCAAUCACGUUCAACCUCGCGAAUUAUGCUCCACCGACCUAAAGGAUCAAGAAUAACCGUUGAAUCAAUGUCGGUUUGAUCCGACGGCCCAGGUUCACUUGAGGGGACUAUAAAACCAGACCCCCUGGCCCCUGGAGGAGACACCCCUUGAUCAUUAUUCAUUAUUCAUAGACAGAGCAAAAGCUAGGGUUUAGAGAUGAGAGCUCUCCUCUCUUCUCUAAACUAGAGUAGAUCUAGAUAGUAGCGAGAUGGAGAGCGAAGGAGGAUUAGAGGAGAGGCCGGCCUGUCGGUUCUUCCUCCGGUUGUACUUCGCCAUGAUCAAGCUCUAAUCAAGCUUGCUCAUGGGAUGACUCUGGUAAUCUACUUCUAAUUCAUUAUGCAAUUACUAAUCAUGUAUGUUCUGGUUCACAACUCUUUUGAGUACUUCUAAUCUAUAGGACCCUAUAGGUUAGAGUUGUAGUAUAGGUGUAAGCGUGGUGCUUAGACCUAGAUUACUUGUGGAUAUCCCCUGACUAGCUGGAUCGUGUGGUAGGCCGCGUAGGUGACAGUUACGUUGGUCCCCUGUAGUCCACCUCUCGUUAGCAGGACGAGUAGGGUUUAUCGGCCUAUGGAUAAGCAUCCUUUGUGGUGUACUCUUAUCACGUGGUUCGUCCCAGACAUAGACAUACCCCUUUGAAGUAGAGAAACCAUAGUUAUCCUCUCUAUUCUGCUACCAUCGCCCAUAUACUAGAAUUGCUCUAUUCUCUAUUCCCAUAUUAUCACUCACUGUUAUCUUACCUUUAAUAUUGUUCUUAUUCGAUUCUAUCAUCUUUCCUAUUUACACCUAUCUAUCUAUCUUGGUUAAGUUAGAGCGUAGUUGGUUCUUCCGUUUCCCUGUGGAUACGAUAAAACCUUUAACCAGGUAAAAGCUUCAACGGUAUCCGUGCGCUUGCGGAUUAUCUGUGUGCGUAUAAAUACCAUAGUACACUCUAGUGCCAUGCUGGGGAUGACAACCUAGUAUUCAAGUGGUGUUAGCAAGUGUCAACACUUUUCUUUCAUCAUCUCCUCGGAAAGCUAAUUCUGAGUGGCUCUAUAGGCAAGGCGCUGGGCAGCCCUCUGGUACUGCAGUUGACGGCUCUCCAGAUGAGCUGCUUGAAAGAGGAUUUCUUCAGCAUCGGCGAGGAUUUGGCCUCUCAGGGUCUUGAACAAAGCAUUAGCUGGAUUAGAGUCAUCGACUAGUUGGGCUGUGUCUUGGUGGAGGAGAGCCAAUAGUUCUUCCAGCUUUGCCCUGACCUCUACCGAUGUGAUCCCAACUGCCCGAGAAGAGCUUGCUUCAUCACCUUCAUCAUCAGAGAUGUCGAUGGCGAAGGAGAAUAGGCUGUCGGGAGAGUCCUGCUCCUGAAAAAGAGUUAAAACGAGUUAUUCUAUGGUCAGGUAUUGAUGAAUAAUGCAGGCGGAGAUUGGACAACUUACUUGCUUCAGGGCAAUCUCUCGCCUCUGACUAGAAGAUGCCGACGGAAUCAUGGGUUGAUCGGCUGAGGUUGCCGAUUGAACUAUGUCAGCUGAAAGGUGACAGAGAUAGUUAUAAGAUAGAAAGGGUAAGUUCAUCAGCAGUAAUUUCAUAGAAGUAUGUUACUUUGAGGUGCGACAAUACUUCUUUGGAUAGAAGAAACUACCGAUGCUAUGAUUGAGCCUGCUGGAUCGGUAGUCUGCUCGCUUACAUCAGCCGAUGUAUCUUCAGGCUGAGGCUCUUCUAGAUGAGGUUCCUCUUGUUGGGGUUCUUCCACUUGAGGUACUACUGGCAGAUGAGGGGGAGAUGGUACCUGCUGCAUCUGUGCUUCUGGGGAGGAAGGAGAGGAUUCCACUGGAAUUGGUGAUACCCGGGGAGGAGAAGGCGUUGCUACUCUUUGACGUUUCACCCGUCCUCUGGUACUCUUGGUAGCUUUCCUCUUCGGCUGGCUAGACUGGGGGGCAUCGGCACUUCUACUUCUGGUCUUUGCCGAUGCGCCGGUAUGCUACGUCAGGAAUAAGAAUUCGUAAGCACAAGUGUGACAGAUGUAAAAAUGGAAUCGGUAUAAAUAGAAAGGUUUAACGAUUACCUUGAAGGCCUGUGCUAAGGUGGAGGCGGCUACCGAUGGAGAUGUCUUGGUCCUCUUGGUGGUCACUUUCUUAAGGUGCACACCUCGGUGCAUGAUGGCAGCUAGAGUGGGAGCGUUGUUGCCGAUUGAAGAGAUCAGACCUGAUGGAAACAGAUCAAUCGACUUGCCGCUCCUACUGAUAGAUGGCGGAAUGUUAUCAACCUGCAACGUCACACAAAGAGUAAGUUACCGAUGAAUAUGGGAGUAAGGGGAUAAAAAUGUUGGUUCAAAGGUACUUACAGUAUUGUCGUGGACUUUGUACUGGGGAUCGAUCGUGCCGCGAUAUGUAAGGGCCGAUCUGCAAAACAAGUGCUCCUUCCACUCCUCCCACCAUUGCUUGUAUGCUUGAGUGACAAAGAGAACUGGAACCCACUCUGACAAAUCGACAUCCGUAUCGGCAUUUGGUGCUAGCUGGGCCACUCUGAUCCAUUCGAGGAGAUUAUUGAUAAUCUCUCUGGGUUUUAUCACAUCGGCAUAACAGAGUGCAAUCGGCAGCUGGCCGAAGGCUAAUUGACGAGCUAAUGCCGAUGGGUUGUAAAACUCAUAGGUUUGGCUAGAGGUUUUCCCACUGCUAAAUAAGUUCACUAGUAUAACUCUGGGAGUGAUCAGUGCCAUCAUUACCUCGUCAUCCUUGUUAAGAUCAUUGUCGAAUGGGUGGAAGAACAAAGGGAACAUGGUGUCUGGAUCUUCAUAGGGCAUCCAUGUUCACUGUUCUCUGGUUAGGCCUUCGUACAAGGUUUGGAAGAAUCGGCUGACCUGAUCUACGUUACCUCCUGUGCCAGGCAAGACUAUGGCAGCCUCACCAAAGUUCAGAGGAGGGCGAAUUGCCGAUUCUUCAUCAUCCAGUUCAUGGUUCUCGGCUGUAUCCCUGGGGAAACGCUAUGCAAAGAGGUCGAACUCGAGGCGCUUGUGCAUGUUAAGGUUGAGCCACAUGUUAAUAAACCACCAGGGACCCCCCAAGCUGCCGAUGGGCUGACCGAGCAGGAGUUUCUUAGCUACCUGGUGGAGGAGAUGGUAGGCAGCGCCAAGCAGGUAUCAGCCAAGAGGUAAUCGGCCACCAUUAGCCGGCCUCUCUGCCGCCGAUAGGUAAACAGAGGUCGGUCCUACCGAUCGGCCGCAGAAUAUGAAUUUGUCCAGCCACAUGUUGACGGGCCCUGUCUUACGAUACUUCUGAAUAUACCCGGACCAGCCGCCGAUGGCGCGGGUUUCCACUUUGGCGCUAGGCGCGGUGUCAAAAAAGUGGGUGCUAUCGACAGAAGAUACGUCCAGGCCGGUGAGCAGAACUGCAUCGGCAAGAGUGGGGGAAGCAGGACCGUGGCCAAAGACAAAGGCAUUGAGCGUGUCUGACCAGAAGUAUGAUGCAGCUAUCAAUAACGACUCGUUCCUAUGCAUAUCGGCAAUGGACAACCUGAUACAUUGGUCCAGUUUUCUCUCACCCCACUGGACUUCGUUUGAAUGGCUGACUCUCAAGAACCAAUCCUUCCAUCCUACGGUGGGGCUGGGCCAGGAGCGAAAAGUAUCCUUCCACAGAUCUAAGGAAAAGUUUUUGGCUCUAAAAGGGAUCCCGUUUGUUUCUACAUUAAUCAAAUCUGUGGGAUCUGGAUUCCCUAAUGGACCAAGGCAUUGGAGGUGUGGCUGAUCGGUAGGGAUGAUUAGUUUGUUGGACAGAUCCUAUUGGUUUUAGGGAUGAAAAGAAGGAUAAGAACAAAAAGAAAGAAAAAUAAAAGGAUGUUCAGUGAAAUAAAUUAUGGACAAACAGGAAUGCGGGAAAAGCACAAGAGGUGGAAUGAAGAACUCACCUCAGGGACUGUGAAGUUGAUGGCCAUCUCUUCAUGAAGAGGAUGACCGAGGGCCUCGGAGUUGGAGGAGAAAAGGCUUCGUUGGAGAUCUCGGAGCUCUCGAACAGCGCUACCGCCGGGAAAGUGGAGUUGGAGCUGUAGAAUGAUGUGAUGGGGAAGGAGUACCCGAGAAGGAACUAUUUAUUGGACAAAACGGGCAAGGGCAAAUUUGAAUUAUCUCUUCGCCGUAUCCAUGAAAUCUGAGGGUACUCAGGUAGAUAUGGUAACUGUUCGCAUGAUAAUCAAGGGAUUGUGCAGGUGAUUUGACAGGAAGCGGUUAUUAUCCGGAGAUAUUUUACUGUGCGGGAUCUCCUGGUCGGUCCAUCGGCAGCGCCUUGUAACGGUAAUAUUGCCGAUGGGCGAAUAAAGUGGAGUUAGCCGUUUGGGAGGAUAAGAUACGUUACUGAGUAUCCUGGUUAGUCCAUCGGCAGGUCUCUGUAACGGUAAUACUGCCGAUAAGCGAUCAAAGUGAAGGUGCCUAUUCGGGAAGUUGAGGAUUUCAAUGAAUCUGCGGAGGAAUCAAACUGAGGUUGUUCAGGUUGAGGUUGUCGGUUACCAAAUUGGGAGAAUUAAUUGCGAAAAAGCAUCAUUACUGCAGGGAAUUUCGGAGCAUUAAUGAUUUCAUACUCCGAAAUUGAGGGGCAUGUGUUGACACCAUUUUUGGGUACGUGUCCAUGGUCGGUAGAAUGCAGGUUGGCAAGACAAAACAACUGUGCUUGGUCUACAGGAUGAGUUGCCGAUGAGGAUGGUUGCCGAUGGAGGGACGGCUGAACAUGACCAAGUCAAUAGGUGAUGAUGUGUUUGUGCCAAUGACUACGACAGGGGAGUCUGCCGACGACGCGGAGGAAGAACCUAAAGGUUGCCGAUCGGCAUGUGGAGGUGUUCCAGUUUGUCACGGGAGGAUAGUUUUAUGUUUUCCUUAGUUAUUUAGAUCGUUUUGUAUACGGAUUCUGUUUAAUUUGGAAUUCGAAUUCUAGUCGUGUCUGGUUGUAGCUCUGCGAACAGGGUAUAAAUGUAGACCCUGAGGCUUUGUAAACAUCCAUCUAUCAAUCAAUCAAACACCAGUUUUUACUCAUAUUCUAGCAUAUACUUUUCGACGACUUCGUCAUACUUUUUUCCUUUACUACGAGUUCUUAGGAAUUCGUCGACUUAAGCUCGGCGUGUUCUCAAGUUCCAUGUGAAUACCUCUUGGCCGUGGCAUCCGGGCGUAUCGCUGUUGUCGGGACCAAAGUAUUCGAGUUACCACCUUUGCCGAUAGUAAGGUCAAACAGGCUGGCACGCCUUAACGUUUAAAUCGGGUAUUAGCCCUUUGUGUUUGCAGAUCCACUUUUGCAUCAACAGUAUGCAUACGAAGAGACAGAUGAAUGCUUUGGCAAACAUGAUAACAUACUUCAUUGGAUACUCAUUUACUUAGUAAGCUUCUAUUACAAGCUCACAAAAGAGUACCACCACAACUAACACACUUAAACAACAACCAACAACUUGACAGGUCAAAGAACAACCCAUAACUAGAGAUAUAUAGAUCCAACAGACAUGAAUUAAGACAUUCUGAAAAGCUUAUGAAAUUGUUUACAUUUCAUCUUUAGACAUCUCAGCAAGAUUCACAAGUUAAACAGGUCAAUUAAAUAAAGUUCCAGGUUCUGUUCCAGAAAGACAGAGAGCACCUUGUUCUGGAACUGAAGUUGGAAAAGCCAUAGCCAAAUGACCCCAAAUUUUAACUACAGCUAGAAUACAAAGUUUACAACAUUUUUGGUAUAGACAAGUCUUUCAGAAAACAAUGUUAUCAUUAGACAAUAAUCAGAUUACUCCCUUGUUGUCCAGAACAGCUAUGUAACCUUUAAUUAAUUAUUUGCUGACAUAGCAAAGACAUAUUUAGUAUCAACCAAGUGGCUCAUAUGCACAAGUAUAACCUAAGAUUACCAGAAAACCACAUGUUGACUACUAAACACUUAAUUAAAAAGGCAUUUAUUAAUUUAAUUCCAUAAAAGGGGAUAAUUAAAAGAUACCCACAAGAUUGCUCAGAAAAAAUCUACGAAAAUUACAGAAGCAGAAGCAAGAUACCUUGACAUUACUAUAAAAAUUUCAAAGCAAUUGCACAUGAAAAACGUAAGAUAUUUAAUUAACAUGUAACAAGGUGCUUAUUUCGUAAAUUAAGAAACAUGGCUUAAAUAGUGUGAAACAACAGAUUUCAGAUUAUUUACAUGCUAUUACUACCACGAGCAAGCUUGACACCAAAGGAAAGCACCAGCAUAAGCAUGUAGCAUUUAAUAUGAUUUAAACAUGGAUUUAAGCAAUAGUAUUAACAUAAAUUGCAUAUUAGAGAUACAGUACUCCAAAAAUCAUGAAAUAUUUACCAGAGCAUACCAGUAAUACACAAAGCAUAGCAUAAAAAGUUCACACCAUUUGGAGCAGUACAUCAAGAGAUAUGAAUUUACAUUGAAAUAACAAGAUUAAUUCCUAACAAUUAUUUUUCACAGAAACAUGGUGCAUAUUAUAUUUUUAUUAAAAACUAGCCAUCCCAUGGAUCAUCACAAUAUUUCUUUCACAAUUUUUGGAACUCAGGAACUGGAGAUAUGAUUUUUGCAAGAGUGCAAGAAAUCUGGAUUUUGAAUAAAAGAGAGGAGGGAGUCGUUGAGUCAGUGACAGCGGGACUCGCAUGUCAGUUUCUUCUUCCCCUCGACCGAUGUUGACGGUCCUUAAGUAUCAAAUUUAAUUAUCAAAUAAAUAAAGAAAAGGAUCCAAACGAAAUCAACAUCUAGACUUAGGGUUUUAUCUGACGGAAUUCCACGAGUUUUGGUGUUUGUCUAUUUCUGCAGGGGGUUAUCAGGAAAUACGGAAGAAAGGCCCACACGUCGGGAUUACAUAGAGAUAUUAAUGUGCCGCGCAAUUAUCUUACAUCUAGAAGACUCUAGAAGCCACGAGAACGAAGCGGAGGCAGAACGGGGUCUCGCCCAGGGCACCCGCCCUAGGGACCAGGGCGCCCGCCCACCUCUGGAGUCCAAUCCGGACUCUCUUUCGGGAUUACGCUCCACCGACCUAAAGGAUUAAGGAUAACCGUUUAAUCAAUGUCGGUUUGGUCCGAUGGCCCAUAUUCACUUGGAAGGACUAUAAAACCAGACCCCCUGGCCCAUGGAGGAGAGAGCCUCUCAACCCUAAUUCAUUAUUCAUCAGGGAGAAGAAGCCUCUGAUCAAGCCUAGAGCCACCACAUCAAUUAGACAUCUAGAUUAGCAUAGCUACAUAGGAUUAGAACUAGAAGGAGUCAAUCUUCGAUUGGUUUACGGGUCUGUCAAAAGGAUUCUUGGUAAUUUUCUAUUGUUCUUCAAUUGUUCAUCUUUGUUCUUCAAUAUUAUGAAUAUGACUUUGUUCUACUUCAAUAUAUUGCUUAUGACUUUGCUCUACUUGUUUAUAUUCGCAAUUAUAUUGUUCUUAGUUUAUCAUAGUUAUAUACUUGGCUUAGUUAGAUUGGAUUUAUAUACAUGUUUAGGAUCGUAUAGCGUUUAUCCAUCGGAUCCAUGGGUAAAUGAUAGAUAUUGUGUAGGCGUGGUGCUUAUACCGUAUUUAUCUACGAUUGUACCCAAUAUGCCAGAUCGUGGGGUAGUUCGUGGUAGUGACAGCUCCAUUGAUUCUUAUAUAGUCCCCCUCUCGUGUAUUGGGCUGGCAGAGCAACAUUAUUACAAGGGAGUGUUUGCGAUGUUUCUCAUAUUCUUUGCUAAUAUCACUAUGCAUGGGCGUAGUCUUGUCUCACAAUGAUUGCUAAAUAUAAUUGCACUAACUAUGAUAUGCUAGACUGUAUAGUUGAGAAUAACUUAGGAAAUAUUCUUGUAGUUCGUUCUAAUUCCAUGUUAAUGACUUGCUAGAAUAUCUAAGUGAGGUGCUUAUCAUAUUUAUUAUGUGGCUAAGUUAUGCUGAUCAGAUUAAUUACCUUUGUCACUAUUCAUUACUUUAUAUAUCCUUUAUGUGACACUUAUCCCUGUAUGAAAGAGUUAGAUAAAUGUUCUCAAUUAUACAUGCAAUGAUAGAUACUCAAUUCAAUAUUCCAUUAUAUAAUCAACAUUGAUGAUUACUAAUCCCUUCCCAGUGGUAAAAAUAUAAAUAACGAUACCUGGAAUACUUCUCGGUUAAAAUGCUACAUCGAUAUUAAUCUGUGCGCUUGCAGAUCCCAUUCUUUAUAUUUAGAUGAGCAAUUGCAUAUUUCAAUACCGCGUCUCUCAUGUCAUGCUGGGGAUGACAACUUGGCUUAAGUGGUAUGAGGGAUAGGUUUGGCAUUUUUGGCGCCGUUAUCAGAAUUAGAAAUUAAGUCUACUUUUGGUAAUGAUGUUAAGAAUGCCCAACAAGCAUUUUUGGCUCCGUUGCCAGGGAAGGUUGAUUACUGAUCAGGAAUGAAUAUAGAAUUUUGAUUUAUCAUUCGCAUCACUAAUAUGAUUGAGCUUAUCAAUUAUCUCAUAUAGUUAUACCCCGAUAUUUUUCUAUUUUAUCUUAUGCAGGGUAAUGUAUGAAUAGAAGACAUCUUCCAGGAAAUUUUGUUGAUAAUCCCGAAGUGUUAUUCAGAAAAACAAGAGCCAAGCUCAAGAAGAGAUCAUCAACACUUCAGCAAGAAGCUUCAUCCAAUCAAGAAGGUCACCGAAACUUGUCUUCAGAGUUCGAAGCCAUGGCGAACAAAUCGAUCCGUGAGUUCUCAGCUCCCACUACGGACAACAUCCGCACUGGACCUGCUGCAGAAAUCAAUGGCAACUUUGAGCUCAAGCAUGGACUUAUCAACAUGGUGCAAUCCAACCAGUUAUGUGGGAAGGCACAUGAAGAUGCUAGUGCUCUUCUCCAAUACUUCCUGGAGAUUUGCAGCACAUUCACCAUAUCAGGAGUCCCCAGAGAUGCUAUACUACUUCGUGUUUUCCCAUUCUCACUGUUAGGGAGAGCGAAGCAGUGGUACUACGCUACAAAGGAGAAGAAUACUACGUGGGCACUCUGCUCCACAAACUUUCUGGCUAAGUUCUUACCCAUGGGCAAGACCAAUGCUCUCCGUGGGAAGACUACAAGUUUUCAGCAACAACAUGAUGAAUCUGUUCCAGAAGCAUGGGAGCGCUUCCAAGACUACAUCCUAGAAUGUUCCCAUCAUGGAAUAGAGAGUUGGCUACUGAUGCAGACGUUUUAUCAUGGGCUCGGCAACAGUGCCCGAGAAACCAUGGAUGCUGCAGUUGGAGGAGCAUUCCUAUCACUCACCAUAUCACAAGCCAUAGCUCUUGUGGAGAAGAUGGCGUCCAAUCAAAGCUAGAAUGAAGAGAGGACCCAGACACGCAAGAAAGGUGGAGGUAUGCAUCAGCUCAAGGAGGUAGACAUGUUGUCAGCAAAGCUAGACCUGCUCAUGAAGAAGCUUGAAGAUAGAGCUGGAGACAUGAAAGAAGUUAUGCACAUCUAGGACUCUCACAUGACUUGUGAGGAGUGUGGAGAUACUGGACACUCAGGCAAUCACUGCCCUGAGACACUUGAGGAUGUGAACUACAUCAACAACAACAACUACUACUACAACUGUCCUCAACAAAAUCAAGGUUGGAAUCAACAAAGACCUAACUACUCAGGUAAUUAUCAAGGUAACAAUUCUUACAACAAUAAUAAUAAUUUUCCACCUUUGAGAGAGUUAGUGUCUAAUCAAGGAAAGUUAAUGGAUAACCUAUCUAAGAAAUUGGCAUCUAAUGAUAAAAUGCUAGAAAAUAUAAAUAAUAGAAUGGAUAAUUUCUCUACUGCCAUCAAGAAUCAAAUUAGCUUUAAUAAAAUGAUUGAAUCUCAGUUAAAUAAAAUAGCUGCUGCUGUUCCUGCUACUAACCCCAGUAUACCAUCACAACCGGAAGGAUUAGAAUCUGCAAAUCUUGUAGACAUGUUUGAUGCAGGUAAUUGGAGUAACCCCAUCACUGAAGUUACUACUGACCUUCUGUCGGUCAAGAGAGGCGAUCCAGGAUGCCCCGUCAUCCCGAUCUCCAUCGGCAUGGUGAACUUCCCAGAAGCACUCUGCGACUUUGGCUCUAGUGUCAACAUUAUGCCCAGGGUACUCUAUGAAAACUUCUUUACAUAUCCUUUAGUAGAAACAACCGUAUGUUUGCAGUUUGCAGAUCAGACGAUAAGUUUUCCAAAAGGAAUAUUGAAGAACCUUUGUGUCCGAGUUGGUACCUUGUACGCCCCAGCAGACUUCGUAGUGAUAGAGAGCGGUAAUGAUGAGAGGGCACCCAUCAUCUUAGGGAGGCCAUUCUUAAACACCUCGAGAGCUGUCAUCUACGCUAGUGCUGCCAAGAUCAGUUUCUACAUCAAAGGGAAGAAGGAGACGUUUUCCUUCAAGAACAAGACUACACAAAUAUUUAAUUGAACCAAGGAAGAGGACCAACAGGAGGAACAUGAACAAGCAAGUGUGGACCGAAUCAGCUAAGAUGGUCACUGCAGUUCAUGAAGGUCAAGAUCAUCGACUUAAGUCACCGUUUCUGACCAAGAAGGACGACCUAGGAAUGCCAACCAUUUAUUGCUCCAUCAAUGGGUACAACUUCUACAAGAUGACUUGUGACACCGGAUCGGGCGUCAACAUAAUGGCCGCAGUCACCUAUUGGCUCCUGUUCGGAACCAUGCCCCUAAAACCCAACAUACAUCAUCUCCACUUGAGUAGAUCUUUAUAAAUGCUCUCAUGCUACCUUAUUUGCUUUAGUAUAUGUCUAGGUUUGGAGUAGUUUCUUUUGUCUCUUAAAUAAGCAUGGUGCUUAGUUUAGGAAUGAUGAUCUUACUUCCAAGGGAUUUUAAAUUAAGCAUGGUGCUUAGGUUAAAAUGCCCUCCUAAAUCAAAUUAGACAUGGUGUCUAGGUUGAUUUUUGAGCCGAUAGUAUGCUAUAGUAGAUAUUGGAUAUUUUGUUGGACUAAACCCUGCAGGAAAACUUUCAAUAUCGACCUGGGAAGUCCUGAGAUAAACUCACAUUGGAGAGAAAGAGAGAGAUACAUCAAGUUUAACAAUUUACACAAGAAAGGCGUAGCUCAUAAGGGAUGAUCCAUGGAGGGUGCCACAAACACGAUGCAUAACCGCUAUGAAAGGAAAGCUUCCACAAGGUGAUACUGUACCAUCACUCUUCAAGUAAGAUAACAUCUUAAGGUACUUGACUAUCACUUUUAUAAGCUUCUCCUUGGUUCUGGCGUUCAUGUGAAUAAAAGAGACAAACAUGUAUGAUUUACAACUCUAGGUUAACCAACCCAAUCGAUUCAAUAUGUUUAGUCCUUCCACCUUUGUGAUCCCACACUACUAAUCAUAUGAGCUAAAAUGUUGCACACUCAAUCUUUGGAAGUUAUAUAAAAAAACAUAAACAUAGAUAGAUUAUCUUUCCAUAAGGUUGAGCAAUCUGAUCUGACAAAUAUUUUAAAUGCUACACUCAUGAUCUUAUUAUCCAUCAAAUUUGUCUUGCUCACUAUGCUUAAGGUUAGAGAAGAACAAAAACACUUUUGGUUAUAUUGGUGUUUUCCACCAACAGGGCCCAUGCACUUGAUCUCUGCAUUGUCUCUAUGAGCAGGUACACUUCGAGCAAAAUCUGAAGGAGUUUUACAACUCUCAGAUUCCACCAAGUGAAGGACUCGGAUCUAUGAGCACAAACACACUGAGCAGGAUACUGCCAAUGCCGCACCUUGAACUGCUGGACAAACGAAGAACAUGGGUGACACCAUAUCAAGAGGUGCAGAUGUCAAGGCACACACCCAAUCAAAUAAUGCACCUAAAGGAUGAACACGGUGAGAAGUCUUGUCCAGAAGACUGAAAACAUUGGAUCCUUGCCGGAAGGUAAAAUCGGUAUUUAUCCAUAUUUAUCUUUUCUGCAUUACUUUUCCUUUUUAUUCCAUCACUUGCAUUAGCAUAUUUACUUUUCCACAUUAGCAUUAGAAAACAAAACAAAAAUAUUUGUUCGUUGCACUGCAACAUAAAAUCUAAAGACCCAUGUGAGUAGACUUGUGGUUUAAAACCCAUAGGUAUAUUGACUGUGGUGGCAUAAAAUAAAUAUGUUUUCAUGUUACAAUAAAAAUAUAAAUAAUAAGUGCAUGAUCCCGCUAAAUAAAUAAAAUUUAUUAGGUGGAAUCUCAAUAUGAUAAAGGCUAAGAGAUUUUAUGCUAACACUUAACCAGUUCCACAAAGCUUUUUCGUCUAUUUGAGCUCUACAAAAUUCAAAGAUCAAAGAAGACUAGCCGACGGAGGACAUAUUAAUCGUUGUCAGGGUGCUGCCGACUUUCAAAUACACCUCUACCACCUCCUAGCCACAUCAAAAGAAAUUAUGUCAAAAUUCAACUUGGGGGAGAGCACCCCCAUUUAUCCCGCUAAGUAUUUCUAUCUAUCUUUAUACUUAUACUAUAUUAAAAUAUAGAUUUACAUAACUAUGGAAAACCAAAUAAAGAUUAUGUGCUUAUACAUAUCCUUUGCUUAGUUUGUUUAAUAAAUAAAUAAAGUGGCUAUGCUAAACUGAAUCCUAAAUAAUAAAAAUCUAGCAUGGAUAUCAUGAAUAGUUGCUCUGCCUAAUUUUUAAAAUUUGAAGUUCUCUCUCAAGUUUAGACAUAACUGUUAUAAUUUAAAGCUUGCUCUAAACCUAAACUUGUGGGAAGAAAACGUGAUGUGAAGUCUAAGUUGUUAACGGAUAUGAUAUGGGAAGGUAGAGCUGGUGUUUAUCUGUUCCUGGAGAUGCUAGAAUUCUGGAGAAUUUUAUCUUUGAAAAAUCUUUAAAAUAUUGCAUGAUGAGUUCCUGUAUGAUGAGAGUUUAAAUUCCUACCACAUCCAUAUAUACAUGCUUGCUAGACUUUGAGCCACACAUUUACUUUUUACUGCUUAUGAGCAUUGAGUGUGGUCAAGCUAUGUAGACCCUUAGGAGCUUGUCAUGUGGUUAAUUCAAGAUUCACUUGCACGUUCACUCACACAUGCUGCUUCUACUCCAGAAGUACGCAUCCACAUAUAUCCACUCAUUACUAUCUCCAGAACCACCCAAAAAUAUUCUACUCCUAAUCCGGGAGAGAAUAGCCAAAAAUAUUUCUAUUUUUCCCCUGAGAAAUAAAUGCUCAAGUUAUCUUGUUACUACCACUUGCUAUAUUAUUUCAAGAGAUGAGUGCUCUAUAAAAAAAGAGAGAAGAUACGAGGAAAUAAAAAGGGGCAAGUGCUCGGAACCUCAAAAAAAAUGAAAGAAAAAGUGAGACGAGAGGUAAAAAUGGACAAGUGUCCGACAGUAGAAUUAGGGGUACAAGAUACCCACCUAAGAGGAAAGAAAAAGAAAAGAUAGAGCAUCUCAUUUUCCUCAAAAAGUUUCAAAGAGCAAGAAAGGUAUGUAUCCCCUCAAAGAGGAAAAGUAGAAUUAGACUUUCACCAUUGUUAUCACCAUCAUCACCAUACACCAUUCAUUUGCCACACAUGCACAUCUUGAUUUGACUUAUUGAUUUGUUUCUUUGGAUCCAUGAUUUGACUAUACAAUAAAUGUCUUGUAAGUAUGUAUACUUUAUCUCCCACCUAUGAGCUCCAGAUAUUAAAGUCUUAUUAGAGUAGGAUGAGAAAGGAGGCAAUGUCAUUAUGCCUUAUACCACAAAUACUACAUAUCUUGAGAGAAGGCAAAUACCAUUACUGUCUUGGUAAGGAUCUAGAAAUACCACAAAAGAGAGAUUUGAGAGAGUCAUACAAGGAAUCUCUGAGUUUUAUUUGAAAAUCUACAAAAACUCCAGAGCUAUAGCUGAUCAAGAAUAAGAGACUGUUGGGUAUUUUAAACGCAAAUAGAAAAAUCCGCAAGCGCAUGGAUACCGAUGUAGCUUUCACCCGGGAGUAUUCCAGAGUAUCGAUUUUCCACAGGGAACGUGAGUGUACUAAUUAAGAUUCAAGAUCGCCCAAGGAUAACUAUAUAAUUAUUUUUGGUGGGAAGAAAGGAAGUUUCCUGAGAGUUCUCUAGUUGAUCUAAGAAUCAAGAAUUACUUCAAAGAUUAUUUAUUUUGGGACAUCAGAACACUAACCACAGAAAGAGAUGAGAAGGGGCCUAGGAAGCUCUGACUACGGUCCUACAAACACUGAUCCGAACGAGGUGGAAUACAUCGACCGUUAGGGCUGUCACUACCCUAGGGCUACCACAACAAUCCGCAGGAUUGGGUGCAAUUCCAGGUAAUUGCAAGACUAAACACCACGUAUAAUCUAUUAAUUACUACUCUAAUUGUCGAGGGUAUCAACGAGGGGUACCCUCACCAAUGCGUAUAACGAAGCCAUCCGUACACACGUGCGGCCAUCGAUGGUCGCAGCCUCGAAGACGGAAAUAGCGUCGAGCGAAUCGGUCAGGGCUCGAGCGACAACUGCCGUCGAAUACGGAAGCGGGCUCGAGCGAACCGAGAGGCGUCGAGCGCAAGGACACUGUCUGCCGCCUGACGCGCGCACGAGAGCCAGGGCAUUAAAUGCACCUGACGCUUCCCCACCUAACACACGGGUCACGGAAGGCGUGAUAGGGAACAGGCUUCUGUCCCAUCGUUCUUUUUGCAGCCUUCCCACCGAACGACCCAGGGCGUGUCAGGACGCAGGAAACAAGGAUGGAACGUCUAAUCGGGACCCCCUCGAGACACCCAAGGUCAGCGCUCCAGAUAUCAGCAUAUUACACGGCGUCUGACCCUCGACCGAACAGGGUCCCUUCCUAGGGACAAGUUGGGCGUCGACUGACAACACCACAGCUACCCCGCCGGAUCCGCCGCCAUACCGUACAAGCAUGCGACCUCAGAACCAGCGCGAGGCGGCGGGCAGGGCAGAACGCAGGAGCACGCGUAAUCAUCACCGGGCUAUCAAGAUGGGACGGCUCGAGGUCGUGCCGUACGGAAGCCUCGAGUAGGUCAGCACUCCAUGCGGCUAUCGACCCCUACUCUAACAUCUACGCAUGUACCCUGUGUCUCUCCUUGGAGCUAUAAAAGGAGAGACUCAGGAAUAGAAGAGGAGGACGACAACACAAGACCACACUCAUACGUAGUAGAGCUCCACACUUCAUACCACGCUUGUAUUCGCCCCUGUACAAGCACUUAGGUGCAAGAUAAUACAAACUCUCUCCCCCCGCUGGACGUAGGGCCUUCUCUUGCCCGAACCAGGAUAAAUCUCUGCGUCUUCUUGCAUCACCAUCCGGGAAAGGGAGCACGCAUACAAAUUUACUCGUUGGUGUGACCCCCCGGGGGGAAAACACCGACAGUUGGCGCGCCAGGUAGGGGUCCUGCGUGUUUUUGAUCGAUUUCCCACUCCUUUCCGGAUGGCUACUCUUGCCUCGCCGUUUCCGCGCUCCACGGUGAUUUGGUUUGGGAGUCUCGAGUUCAUGUCUACGGGCUCCGGCUACGACAUGAUCUUGCUCUCAGUCAAAGGACCAGGAGGAGCCCGCGUUACGCCAGCACGGUUGAAAGCCCCGAGACGCCCUCACCACCACGCCUCCCCGCCUAAGAAGAGGCACGGACAGCACCACCGCGGCACCUCUACUUCAGCACGACCAACAACUCGUGCGAGGCAGGACGUGGGCCACAAGCCGGCAGCACCGUGUGACGGAGCAACAAGCGCGACGACUCAGCACCGCACGACGACGGGAGGGGACGCGUCUCGCGCGCUCUCCCCCACCGCAGCUAGGCUACUUCCACACGGGUUGUUCUCUCCAAGGGCGGCACUGCCGUUCGGGAUGGACAACGCCGCGGCGUCGCUCGCCAGAGCGAUAUGCCCAAACACCCAGACGUACGUAGAAAGACCAAUGGUCCUCCCACGUAGCUCUGAAGCGCGGCGGCCGGCGUCCGAGCUGCCGGACCUUUCCCGAGUACGAGGUCUCCGUCGUCUAGGCCCCGGACGAUACUCGAUCACCUCCCUCAGGCAACGAUUGCUAGAGGAAGGACGUGGGUGUUUCUACGCCGCCGAACCGGACUCCGACUCCGAGACAGAUAGCUAUGACCCUACGAGGGAAUGCUAUCACAUCGACGGGGCGGUAGAAACUACUGACGAGACACGGGAUGCUGCUGUGGGUGGUCGAGCCCCCGCGGCGCGAGAAGACCCCAGGACGCCUGGGGUCGACCCCCCCCUCAGGAAGACAGAACCGCGCAGCUCGCGCAGCUGCGGGAGGUCAAAAUGAAGCUCGACGAAGACCGCGAGCGCCUCGUCCUACUAGAGCAAAUCCUCGAGCAAGACCUGCCCUACCCGCCGAGCGGAAGUGUCCGCAGACGCGCUCGAGAGGUACAUCGACAGAUCGUCGGCGACGCAAAGCCAGAGCAACCUGUCAGCCGUUUCCCUCGAGCAGGCCAGAAUGUAGUGGCAGCGACGAUGCUGCUACGUAACAUGCCAGAGCCGUCGAAUUCCCAGGCCCGACGUAUUCGAGAUGAAGUACAGACAUUGCUCCAGGUGGCGGCAGUUCAACAAGCCGAAAGUUCGGCGUCUCGACGACGAGAAGCUGCCACAGAGAAGCGCGACGAACAGCCUCUAAACGAAGAGGAGGUGUCAGUCCAUCAACAACCUCCCCCUCGAGGUAGAAAGACCACUCUCAUCCUCCCUGUCGACAAUCAACGUCGACACGACACGCGGCACGACAUCAAAGAAAAUCGACGCCGCCGGCACGGAGACGCGGAAGAGCGUGGUUAUAGCGCGCAUCGCGGUGGGAGAUACGACAGCGACGAGGACCGGGUGGCCCCCGAGCCACCGGGCCCACGGGUGUUCAGCAGGGCGAUCCGCAGCACGCCCCUGCCCAAUCCAUUUCGACCCCCAACCAGCAUCGCGAAGUACAAUGGAGAGACCAAGCCAGAGCUGUGGCUGGCCGAUUUCAGGCUGGCCUGUCAGCUAGGUGGCGCUCGAGGUGAUGAUCGAGCCAUCAUCAGACAGCUACCCCUUUUCCUCUCCGACACCGCCCGUCGAUGGCUCGAGGAACUCCCCGCCAAUCAGAUCCACAACUGGGUUGAUCUGGUCAGAGUCUUCGAGGGUAACUUCAAAGGGACCUACAUACGGCCAGGGAACUCGUGGGACCUCAGCAAGUGCAAGCAGAAGUCGGGAGAAACUCUUCGGGAGUAUGCUCGACGCUUCUCGAAGCAGCGCAUUGAGCUGCCGCACAUCCCUGACCACGACGUCGUCUUGGCGUUUGUCUCGGGCACCACCAGUCGAGACUUGGUGCGGGAAUUAGGUCGCAAUCGACCUCAGACCGUCGACGAGCUGAUGGACGUAGUAGCCAACUACGCGGCAGGGGAGGAGGCAGUCGGCGCCUUCUUCAGCUCAGAAGGAAGAAAAGGCAAGCAGCCCGUCGAUGAAGAUGGGACCUCCAGUCGAGGCCUCAAGAAAAAUAAAAAGAAGCAGAAAGUGCGGCAGUUCCACCGGGAGAAUUCCGAUGACAACCUUGUCGCCGCCAUGGAUCGAAAGAAGCCUCGAGGCCCUCCGGAUGGAGGCAUCUUCGACAAGAUGUUGGAAGAGCCGUGCCCUUACCAUAAGGGAGGCGCCAACCACAAGCUCAAAAACUGUCGUAUGCUGAGAAGGCAUUUCGACGGUCCGGGGUUCAAAAAAGAUACGCGUGAUGACUCCAAGAAAGAGAAGGCUGGCAGCAAGGAGGACAACAAAGAUGACGACGGCUUCCCCGCCGUCCACGACUGCUACAUGAUCUAUGGCGGGCCCUCGACUCAAUUAACCAUGAGGCAGCGCAAAAGGGAGCGUCGCGAAGUCUUUGCAGCAAGAAUGGCGGUGCCCCAAUACCUUAGUUGGUCAAGCACUCCUAUCACUUUCGACCGAGAGGACCACCCCGACAAGGUAGUCGCCCCGGGCGUCUACCCGCUCGUCGUCGACCCCAUCAUCAUCAACACCCGACUCUCGUAAGUGCUAUUGGAUGGUGGCAGCAGCCUCAACAUCAUCUACCUCGAGACCCUCGACCUCCUCGGCAUCGAUAGAGGACGCCUCCAGCCGAGCGCCGGCGGUUUCCAUGGCGUCGUGCCAGGGAAAAAGGCACUGCCAGUAGGUCGAAUUGACCUACCGGUCUGCUUCAGCACGGCGGCCAACUUCAGGAAGGAGACCCUCACCUUUGAGGUGGUUGGGUUCCGAGGCACGUACCACGCCAUCAUCGGGCGCCCGGGCUACGCCACGUUCAUGGCUAUACCCAACUACACCUACUUGAAGCUGAAGAUGCCCGGUCCCAAAGGCGUCAUCACUGUCAGUUCCUCCUUUGAGCAUGCGUACGAGUGCGACGUCGAGUGCGUCGAGUACGGGGAGGCGGUCGAGAACUCCACCGAGCUCGUCGCGAAGCUCGAGGCCCUGGCCACUGAGGCUCCAGAGCCUAAGCGCCACGCAGGCAGCUUCGAGGCGGCGGAAGGAACCAAGAAGAUCCCGCUCGACCCCAACAACUCCGACGGCAAGGUGCUGACGAUCAGCACCGACCUCGACCCCAAAUAGGAAGCCGUGCUCGUCGACUUUCUCCGUGCAAAUGCUGAUAUGUUUGCAUGGAGUCCCUCGGACAUGCCAGGCAUACCGAGGGAAGUCGCCGAGCACUCCUUGGAGAUUCGAGCCGGUUCCAAGCCAGUGAAGCAGCGGUUGCGCCGAUUCGAUGAGGAGAAGCGCAAGAUCAUUGGCGAGGAAGUCCACAAGGUUUUGGCGGCCGGAUUCGUCAAGGAGGUUCAUCAUCCUGACUGGUUAGCAAACCCUGUAUUAGUUAAGAAAAAGAAUGGGAAAAUGAGGAUGUGUGUCGAUUAUACUAGUCUAAAUAAAGCAUGUCCGAAAGUUCCCUUUCCAUUGCCACGCAUUGAUCAGAUUGUCGAUUCUACCGCGGGAUGUGAAACCCUUUCUUUCCUUGAUGCAUAUUCUGGUUACCACCAAAUAAAAAUGAAGGAGUCCGACCAGCUCGCGACCUCUUUCAUCACGCCUUUUGGGAUGUAUUGCUACGUGACCAUGCCAUUUGGGCUUCGAAACGCGGGAGCCACGUAUCAACGUUGCAUGCUCCACGUAUUUGGCGAACAUAUAGGGUCAACGGUCGAGGCCUACGUCGACGACAUUGUCGUCAAGUCAAAGCGAUGAGGAGACCUGAUCUAGGACCUCGAGAUUGCCUUCAGCUGCCUACGCACCAGCCAGAUCAAGCUCAAUCCCGAGAAGUGCGUUUUCGGCGUGCCUCGAGGCAUGCUCCUAGGAUACAUCGUUUCGCAGCGCGGUAUCGAGGCCAACCCCGAGAAAGUCUCGGCCAUCACGAAAAUGGGGCCAAUCCGAGACAUCAAGGGUGUGCAGAGAGUCACGGGGUGCCUGGCGGCUCUAAGCCAUUUCAUCUCGAGACUAGGAGAAAAGGCAUUACCAUUAUAUCGACUCCUAAAGAAGGUCGAGCGCUUUUCUUGGACCCCUGAGGCCGAGGAAGCACUCGAAAGGCUGAAAAAGACGCUGACCUCGGCACCAGUCCUGGUUCCACCUCAACCUGCAGAGCCGCUGCUCCUCUACGUCGCGUCGACGACCCAGGUCGUCAGCGCGGCGGUGGUGGUUGAGAGGCAGGAGGAGGGACAUGCGUUACCGGUUCAGAGGCCAGUAUAUUUCGUCAGCAAGGUGCUUUCGGAGACUAAAGCACGUUAUCCCCAAAUCCAGAAGCUGAUUUAUGCCGUAAUCCUUGCCCGUCGCAAGCUGCAGCAUUACUUCCUUGGCCACCCCAUCACGGUGGUCUCGUCUUUUCCUUUAGGCGAAAUAAUCCAGAGCAAAGAAGCCACGGGAAGAAUAGCAAAAUGGUCGGUCGAGCUCAUGAGUGAGACUCUCACUUAUGCGCCUCGCAAGGCCAUCAAAUCGCAGGCCCUGGUAGACUUCAUCGCAGAAUGGACGGACACCCAGCUCCCCCCGACCCAGGUCCAGGCGGAACUAUGGACGAUGUAUUUCGAUGGGUCGCUCAUGAAAACUGGAGCCGGAGCCGGCCUGCUGUUCAUCUCACCCUUGGGCGUCCACAUGAGGUACAUAAUCAGGAUUCAUUUUGCUGCAUCUAACAAUGUCGCAGAAUAUGAGGCCCUCGUCAACGGUCUCAAGAUCGCUAUCGAGUUAGGAGUCCGACGCCUCGACGUCCGAGGUGACUCCCAACUCGUCAUCGACCAAGUAAUGAAAACCUCGAGCUGCCACGACCCAAAAAUGGAAGCGUACUGCAAGGAGGUCCGUCGACUCGAGGACAGGUUCCACGGUCUCGAGCUUGUCCAUGUCGCUCGACGCUACAACGAGGCAGCCGACGAACUCGCCAAGAUCGCAUCUACCAGAGGCACAGUGCCGCCUGAUGCAUUCUCAAAGGAUCUUCACGAGCCAUCCGUCGACCUAGGCACGGGGGCUGGCGUCGACGCCACCACCGCCCAACCAACCAAUGCUGUCGAUACGCUCUUGAUGGUGGAAGAGAUGAUGGAGAUAGAACGACGACCGGGUCGACCAUUCGAUUGGCGCACACCGUUCCUCGACUGCCUUAUCCGCUGCGAGUUGCCAGAAGACAAGACAGAAGCUCGUCGUAUCGCUCGAUGGGCCAAAUCAUAUGUGAUCUAUGGCGAAGACAACGAGCUAUAUCGACGGAGCCCGACGGGGGUCUUACAACGUUGCAUCACCAUAGAAGAAGGCCGAAAACUCCUCGAUGACCUGCACUCGGGGGCUUGUGGCCACCACGCCGCUCCACAGACCCUUGUAGGGAACGCUUUUCGGCAAGGCUUCUACUGGCCAACGGCCGUGGCGGAUGCCAUCGAGCUCGUACGCUCGUGUCAUGGGUGCCAGUUCUACGCCAAGCAGACGCAUCUGCCCGCCCACGCUCUUCAGAUGAUCCCCAUCACCUGGCCGUUUGCGGUAUGGGGGCUCGAUUUAGUAGGACCUCUACAAAAGGCGAAAGGAGGAUACACCCAUUUGCUGGUGGCCAUUGACAAGUUCUCAAAAUGGAUCGAGGCUCGACCCAUCACCAACAUCCGCUCCGAGCAGGCCGUCCUCUUCUUCACCGACAUCAUCCAUCGGUUUGGGAUCCCCAAUGUCAUCAUCACCGACAACGGCACCCAGUUCACCGGCAGAAAGUUCUUGGAUUUCUGCGAUCAGCAUCAUAUCCGUGUGAACUGGUCUGCAGUAGCCCACCCUCGAACUAACGGCCAGGUCGAGCGUGCCAACGGCAUGAUUUUGCAAGGACUCAAGCCAAGGAUCUACAAUCGAUUGAAGAAAUUCGGCAAGAAAUGGGUCGAGGAGCUUUCCUCAGUCCUAUGGAGCCUUAGGACAACGCCAAGCAGGGCCACCAAAUACACCCCGUUCUUCAUGGUCUACGGCUCUGAGGCUAUCCUCCCCACAGACCUCGAGUAUGGGUCACCUCGACUCAAGGCUUACAACGAGCAAUCGAACAAAGAAACUCAAGAAAACGCGGUCGACCAACUCGAGGAGGCUCGAGACAUGGCCCUCCUCAACUCUGCCAGAUAUCAGCAGAGACUCCGACGCUACCACGACAAGCACGUGCGCAAGAGGGACCUCAACGUAGGCGACCUUGUCCUACGACGCCGGCAAAGCAACCAAGGACGCCACAAGCUGACUCCACCUUGGGAAGGCCCGUAUGUGGUGGCCGAGGUCCUUAAGCCAGGAACAUACAAAUUGGCGGACGAAAAGGGGGCAAUCUUCACCAACGCAUGGAACAUCGAACAGCUACGUCGAUUCUACCCCUAGAAGUCCUAAACUUACGUUCCUACAUUUUGUACGAAGACUUUGUAAACGAACGUGUGAAUAAAUAAAGUCUUUCUCUCGAGUGACUUCUUUUUGUGCCAAAAAUAGUUACGAGUCAUAGUCUUGACGUUAAAAGGGGAUGCCGACCAUGACCCAUCAUAGUCAGCACCCCCUCGGGGGCUACCAGGGGGACGACCCCCCCCCAAGCGUCGAAAAAGCCAAGAAAUUUUCUUUUCUUACUUAGUAAACCUUGCACGGUUCGAGUAGCUAAGGCGCCUCGAGCCCCUCAAAGGCCGAGGGAUAACGAGCCGGAGAACUCCCACGCCCCCGGGCUACGGAAACUCUACUCACUUCCUCACCCUUGAGGUAACCGAGGUUGUUUUUGACGAAAGAUCGAGCAAGGAAUACAAACGUAGGAACAAAGAGAAACAAAAGAACCUCGAGCGGAAAGACAAAUAAGCAUUUAACAAUCACAAAAAGAUACUGUAUCACCUAAUAGCAGAAUUAAUAAAGUAUCAUACAAGGGGCCUCAGGCGCCCUGAGCAGGCUCGCAGGCCUCAGUCCGCGGCACGAUCCUCACCGCCCUCGCCUCCGCCCGAGCUAGCCUCAGGAGGGAGCACCUCAGGCUCGAAGAGCUUGGCCAACCUUUCCCCAGGAGCCUCCGCGUCGUCGAUCAAAGCAUGAAGCCUCUCCUCGUUCUCCGCGUCGGUCUUAGAGAUGUCGGUGACGAAGCCAUGGGACACCACCUCCAUGUCGUAGGAGAAGCCCGAGCAGACAACCGCCAUCGCCCGCUUCACUCCGAUGUGGAGGGCGUCCAGCACCCGAUCUCGUAGCGUCGCGCCUAUGUAGCACAACUGGUCGACCAGGGCGUCGCCUCGAGCGUCCUCCCUCGACUCAUCCAUAGGCUCGACCUCCCAAGAGGUCGAGAGAUCACUUAUCACCGUCCGCACUCGACGGUUCAAAGCAACCUUCGCCUCGAGCAGAGCCUUGGCGUUGCGAGCCUCGGCUUGGGCGGCCAGGAGUUCGUCCUUGAGCCCUGUAAAAGCCAAUAUAAAGAGACCUUAGGAAAAACCAAGCACACCUCGAAAAAGAAAUUCGACAAAGGAAACAUACCUUUGAUGCUCUCCUCUAGGGCUGUGUUCUCGCCGACCAAUCUGGUGUUGGCACGCUCGAUCUCUCUGUUGGAGCGCGCCAGCCUGAGCAACGGCUCCACUCUUCUCCAGCAAUUCUCCCUUCAGACGCUCGACGUCGUCAGAGAGACUGCGGGAUCGAGCCCGCUCCGCCUCGAGGUCUUCGAGGGCCUCCUUCUUUACGUCCUCGGCGGCACCCCUUGCGACCUCACUGUCCACGUACGCCACUUUCAUCUUCUGGAAAGAAUCGCGGAGGGAGUCCAGGUCGGUCUUGAGAAGGCCCUUCUCCUUGUCCAGGUCCGCAAUGACGCUCUUGUAGGACAGGGCCACCUCCCGGGCUCUGGACGCGGCCUCCUCGACCGUAAGAGCCCGCUCUCGUAGCUGCAUCGAAAGAUAUAUAAGUAGAGCUUUAAAAGUUUUAGCAUACUUACUUUGCAUUUUGCUAUGUCAAUGCUCGAAGCAAGGGAAACAAAUGUCAUACUCCUAGAUCAAGACCUUUGACUUUUUUGAAAAGUUUGUCAUCUCUUACUAGCAUAUUGCUUAUUAGAGGGACCAUGGGCUAUCAUUUUGUUUUCUUUCUUUUUCUUCUUCUUUUUUUAAGUCUUUUUUCAAGUGGGCACCAAGUACCCCUAAUUCUACUGUCGGACACGUGUCUAUUUUUUUCACUCAGGUGGGUAUCUUUGUACCCCUAAUUCUACUUCAAACACUUGUCCAUUUUUACAUCUCGUCUCACUCUUUCUUUUGAAUCAAAUUUUUGCAUAGUCCCAUGCCUCUAAUGCAAUAAUACUUUGGAAGAGUGAAUCUUUUAUAUUUAUAAAAACAAAAAGAUCUUGAUCUUUAGAGCAUGAUAAUUCUCUCAACCAAAACUACAAGAAUUAACAAUGGCUUGAACAAAGAAAGUGCCCACAGUUUUAACAUUUAUAUCUUAUAAGACUCUAGGUACUAUGUCAAACAGGAUCUCAUCAUCAUUUUUUUAUUAUGAAUUUUUAGAUUUUCAGAAGAUAAAAUCUCCAGAACUCUAGCAAUACUCGGAACAAGUUAAAUAGUAGCUUAGGCCUUCUCAUAUCAUGUUUGUCAAUGUUGACUAUCCUUAAUGCUCACAUUUAUCCAUCAACUAAUCAUGGAAAAGGAUCCAAAUGCAACUAACACCUAGACUUAGGGUUUUAUCUGAAAGAAUUCCAUGAGUUUUGGUGUUUGUCUAUUUCUACAGGGGGUUAUCAGGAAAUACGGAAGAAAGGCCCACACGUCGGGUUUAUAUAGAGAUAUUAACGUGCCGCGCAAUUUUCUACCAUCUAGAAAACUCCAGAAGCCACGAGAACCAACGGGAAGGAAAUUGGGCUCGGAGGCAGGGCGCCCGCCGAACUCUCCUGGGCGCCCGCCCAGCUACAGUGCCCAAUCAGGACACGUUUCGCGGAUUAUGCUCCACCGACCUAAAGGAUCAAGGAAAACCGUGCGAUCAAUGUCGGUUUGAUCCGACGGCCCAGAUUCACUUGAAGGGACUAUAAAACCAGACCCCCUGGCCCCUGGAGAUCAUACCUCUUCUACAGAAUCAAAGCUAUGGUUUCAAUUCUUCAUCCAAGUAGAGAGGAUCCCUCUAGUUCUUCUAGUUCUACCUCUAGUUCAUCUAGAUCUAGUUCUAGUUCAUCUAGUUCUAGUUCUAGUUCCUCUAGUUCUAGUUCUAGUUAGUUCUAGUUGUAAUCUAGAAAAUAGGUAGAGAGAAGAGGAGAGCGGAGGAGGAGGAGCCGGAUCUGUCGGAUCUUCCUCAACAUUGUACUUUUGCAGCAACUGGUUCGUUCUUCAUCGUUCUCCAGGUUCUUCAAUUCAUAAUUCCUGAGUUCUCUAAUUACUUUUAUUUACAUUCAAGUUAUUUAUUGGAAUCCCGCUUGCAUCAAGUGCUCUAAUCUUUGAAACAUUAGAGUAGUAAUUAAUAGAUUAGACGUGGUGUUUAGUCUUGCAAUUACCUGGAAUUCCACCCAAUCUUGCGGAUUGUUGUGGUAGCCUUAGGGUAGUGACAGCCCUAACGGUCGACGUAUUCCACCUCGUUCGGAUCGGUGUUUGUAGGACCGUAGUCGGAGCUUCCUAGCCCCCUUCUCAUCUCUUUCUGUGGUUAGUGUUCUGAUGUCCCGAUAUAGAUAAUCUUGAAGUAAUUCUUGAUUCUUAGAUCAACUAGAGAACUCUCAGAAAACUUCCUCUCUUCCCACCAAAAAUAAUCAUAUAGUUAUCCUUGGGCGAUCUUGGAUCUUAAUUAGUACACUCACGUUCCCUGUGGAAAAUCGAUACUCUGGAAUACUCCCGGGUGAAGGCUACAUCGGUAUCCGUGCGCUUGCGGAUUUUUCUGUUUGUGUUUAAAAAACCCAACAAGCUUUCUGGCGCCGUUGCCGGAGAACGGUAGCUGUGCUAGUUUCGAAACAAGUCGUCCGUGUAUCCUUUUUUCUUUUCUUUUUUUUUACCACACUCACCUUACCAUUUUCACCAUACCACAUGGAAUUCACUCUAAGCAUUAAUGAGCAUGGAAUUUAUUUCAUAGCCACUUCAUUUACUCCAUGCUCAUAUGCAACAUCUUCACAAUCCAUUGGUCUCUCCAACAUCACCACAUUCGAGAUCUCCAACCACCACUUCCUUUCUAUUUAUAAUUACUUUAAAAGGCCGGCUGUCGAUGCAUAUGUCUAUAAUAAAUUUUGCAGAUCUCGUUGAGUUGAUCUUGAUAUAGGUCAGCGUUAGAGGUGAAACCACUUCACUGACAUAAAAUUGAUGGUUUCCCAAGGACAAGCUUAGUGUCCUAAAACAAGCACUGAUCAGAUUGUAACAUGAGCUUUUAAUUAUUUGCAACAUUACCUUGUGUGUUGAGCAUAUAAGGAUAAUUGUAAAAAUCUUCCUUCGGGUAUUUUUGUCACUAACCUUUCCAGGAUUGGAGCAAGAAGAUCGGAUGAAUGACAAGCACAAGGUAUGUCCAACCAAUCAUCAUACAACAUUGAAUUAAAUUCAUCGAAACUUGAAUUUUGCAAAGUUCAAGCUUGGGGGAGUACUUUACAUAAAAUAAAUCCUUUGCCAUGUUGCUAUGUUGGUUGUCCGUACCUUUGAGACAUGCUCAAUUUGUUAAAUACUAAUCACACUACUUCAUCUCCACUUGAGUAGAUCACUAUAAAUGCUCUCAGGCUACCUUUAUUUGCUUUAGUAUAUGUCUAGGUUUGGAGUAGUUUCAUUUAUCUUUUAAUUAAGCAUGGUGCUUAGUUUAGGGCUCAUGAUCUUACUUCUAAGGGAAUUUAAAUUAAGCAUGAUGCUUAAGUUAAAAUGCCCUCCUAAAUCAAAUUAGAUAUGGUGUCUAGGUUGAUCUUUGAGCCUAUAGUAUGCUAUAGUAGAUAUUGGAUAUUUUGUUGGACUAACCCCUGCAGGAAAACUUUCAAUAUCGACCUGGGAAGUCCUGAGAUAAAGUCACAUUGGAGACAAAGAGAGAGACGCAUGAAGUUUAACAAUUUACACAAGGAAGGCAUAGCUCACAAGAGAUGAUCCAUGGAGGGUGCCACAAACAUGAUGCACAACCGCUAAGAAAGGAAAGCUUCCACCAGGUGAUACUAUACCAUCACUCUUCAAGUAAGGUAACAUCUUAAGGUACUUGACUAUCACUUCUAUAAGCUUCUCCUUGGUUCUGGCGAUUGCAUGAAUAAAAGAGACAAACAUGUAUGAUUUACAACUCUAGAUUAACCAACCCAAUCGAUUCAACAUGUUUAGUCCUUCCACCUUUGUGAUCCUACACUCCUAAUCAUAUAAGCUAAAAUGUUGCACCUUCAAUCUCUGGAAGAUAUAAACAAAACAUAAAUAUAGAUAAAUUAUCUUUCCAUUGGGUUGAGCGAUCUGAUCUGACAAAUGUUUUAACUGCUACACUCAUGAUCUUAUUAUCCAUCAACUUUGUCUUGCUCACUAUGCUUAAGGUUAGAGAGAACAAAUACACUCUUGGUUCUGUUGGUGUUUUCCACUAACAGGGCCCAUGCACUUGAUCUCUGCCUUGUCUCUAUGAGCAGAUACACUUCGAGCAAAAUAUGAAGGAGUUUUUCAACUCCCAGACUCCACCAAGUGAAGAACCUAGAUCUACGAGCACAAACACACUGGAGAUACUGGACACUCAGGCAAUCACUGCCCUGUGAUGCUUGAGGACGUAACUACUGGAGUAACCCUGUUGUGGAAGUAAUUACUGACAUUCUGCCGAUCAAUAGAUGCGAUCCAGGACGCCCCGUCAUCCCGAUCUCCAUCGGCAUGGUGGACUUCCCAGAAGCACUCUGCGACUUUGGCUCCAGCGUCAACAUUAUGCCCAGGGUACUCUAUGAAAAAUUCUUUACACAUCCUUUAUUAGAAACAGCCAUGUGUUUGCAGCUUGCAGAUCAUACGCUAAGUUUCCCAAAGAGAAUAUUGAAGAACCUCUACGUCCAAGUUAGUACCUUCUAUGCCCCAACAGACUUCGUGGUGAUAGAGACUGAUACUGAUGAGAGGACACCCAUCAUCCUAGGGAGGCCAUUCCUGAACACCUCGGGAGCUGUCAUCUACGCUAGUGCUGCUAAGAUCAGUUUCUACAUCACGGGGAAGAAGGAGACAUUUUCCUUCGAGAACAAGACUACACAAAUCUCAUAGCAAUCCUGACAUGAACCAAGGAAGAGGAUCAACAGGGGGAACAGGAACAAGCAAAUGUGGACUGAGUCAGCUAAGAUGGUCACUGCAGCUCAAGGAGGUCAAGAUCGUCAACUCAAGUCGCCUUUCUUGAUCAAGAAGGACGACCCUGGUGUUCCAAGCAUCGAGCGCACAAUGAACGGAUAUUCUUUUCAGAAGACACUCUACGACACCGGAUCUGACGUCAACAUAAUGGCCGUAGUCACCUAUCAGCUUCUGUUCAGAACCAUGCCCCUAAAACCGACAUACAUUCAGCUCUAGAUGGCAGAUCAGACAUUCCGAAAAGUUAUUGACAUAGGAGAAGACGAGUUAUGAUCCACCCAUCAUCCUUGGGAGAUCGUUUCUCAACACCGUUAAAGCAAUCAUCUACAUUGAAACCAGAGAAGUCCACAUGCACUUCCCCUCUCAGAAGGUACGUCACUGUUUUACUGACCCUAACUAUAUAGUUGAAGACUCUAAGCAGGUCAGGACAAGAAGAAGAUGACGCAACCAUAACCAGAGGAGGAAAAUCAUCAAGGAUGGAUGGGCAGACUACGAAGGAGAAGUGAUAAGGUCUGAAGACAUACAGCUUGAACAGAACUAUCCUGAGGAGACCAUAGCACCGAGUCAGGUGUGUAGAGAGAAGAUAGUUAUACAUGAAGACCAGGCGACGCUGGAACCCCCGACUACGCCAUCCAGCGAAUCCCAGGACGACUAAGAAAACGGAGGGUCCCGUUCGGAGGACUCAAAAACACCGAACGCCUUGCCAAGAGGUAAACAUGGUAGUUAUCUUUUUCCUUUCAAUUUUUUAAAAUAGUUUACUUAGUUAAUCAGGUUCAUAUCGUCUUGAAAAAAAAAAUGUUAAAGAAUAGUAAGCCCCAUGUGAGUAUGCUCAUGGCAUAAAACCCAUAAGUACAUUCACUGUGUGGCAUAAAAAUAAAAUAAAUAUUUUCUCUGCUCUAUAAAAUGAAAAUAUAAAAAUAAAUUUAUGAUCCUACCAAAGAGUGUAACAUUUAUUGAGGAAGCUCAACAUGAUAAAGGCUAGAUAUUUAUGCUAACACUUAACUAGUUCCACAAAGCUUUGUUGUCUAUUUGAGCUCCACAGAAUUCAAGGAUCAAAGAAGACUAGCAGACGGAGGACUGCCAACAUUCAAAUACACCUCCGCCACCUGCUACAUCAAAAGGAAUUACGUCAAAAUCCAGCUUGGGGGAGAGCACCCCCAUUUAUCCAGCUAAGUGUUUCUACUCACAUUUAUACUUUACUCAAAUAAUAAAAAGAUGCAUAAUCAUAAAAACCCAAAUAGAGAUUUUGUGUUUAUAUAUAUAUCUUUGCUUAGUUUGCUAAAUAAAUAAAUAAAUAAAAUUUGCUAUGAACCCUCAUGAUAAUCUCUCACAUGGAACUGAUGAAUGAUUGCUCUGCUAUGACUAGUUCUUAAAUUGAAAUCUCUCUCAAGUUUAGGCAUGACUGGUAUUAAUUAAGAUUUGCUCUAAACCUGAACUUGUGGGAAGAGUACUUGAUCUGAAGUCUAUGUCGUUAACGGAUAUGAUAUGGGAAGGUUGAGCUACUGUUUAUCUGUUCCUAGAGAUGCUAGAAUUCUGGAGAAUUUUAUCUUUGAAAAUCUUUAAAAUGUUGCAUGAUGAGUUUCUGUAUGAUGAGAGUUUAAAUUCCUACCACAGCCAUAUAUACAUGCUUGCUAGACUUUGAACCGUACAUUUACUUUACUGCUUAUGAGCAUUGAGUGUGGUCAAGCUGUGUAGACCCUUAGGAGCUUGUCAUGUGGUUAAAUCAAGAUUCACUUGCACGUUCACUCAUACAUGCUGCUUCUACUCUGGAAGUACGCAUCCACAUAUAUCCAUCCAUUUCCAUCUCCAAAACCACCCAAAAAAAUAUUCUACUCCUAAUCUGGGAGAAAAUAGCCAAAAACAUUUCUAUUUCCCUCUGUGAAAUAAAUGCUCAAGUUAUCUUGGUUACUACCACUUGCUACAUUAUUUCAGGAGAUGGGUGCUCUAAAAAAUAAAAAUAAUAAUAAAUACGAGGAAAUAAAAAGGGGCAAGUGCGCGGAACCUCGAAAGAAAAGAAAAAAAGUGAGACGAGAGGUAAAAAUGGACAAGUGUCCGACAGUAGAAUUAGGGGUACAAGAUACCAACCUGAGAGAAAAGAAAAAAAAAGAGAGAAAAUAUAGAGCAUCUCAUUCUCCUCAAAAAGUUUCAAAAGAGCAAGAAAGGUAUGUAUCCCCUCAAAAGAGCGUAAGUAGAAUUAGACUUUCACCAUUGUUAUCACCAUCAUCACCAUACACCAUUCAUUCGCCACACAUGCACAUCUUGAUUUGACUUAUUGACUUGAUCUUCUGGAUCCAUGGUUUGACUAUGCAAUAAAUGUCUUGUAAGUAUGUAUAUUUUAUCUCCCACCUAUGAGCUCCAGAUAUCAAAACCUUAUUAGAGUAGGGUGAGAGAGAAGGCAAUGCCACUAUGCCUCAUACCAAAAAUACCACAUACUUUGAGAGAAGGCAUACACCAUUACUGCCUUGGUAAGGAUCCAGAAAUACCACAAAAGAGAGACUAGAGAGAGUCAUACAAGGAAUCUCUGAGUUUUAUUUGAAAAUCUGCAAAAACUCCAGAGCUACAGUUAAUCGAAGAACAAGAGACAUGGCACUUGACUAGACCGUUCUAUCUUUUAACUGCUCAAGACACAAGUGACGGUUGCAAGCCCCAUGAUGGAAGGUACAAUGGGUAAGUUUAAAUCUUAACAGUUUACCCUAACCCAGAGAUAAGAUCUUGUUUGAACCCAUGUGUAUCUUUAAGGUACGAAACCACUGCAGAAACUCUUGAGUUCAUCUUUGCUCAGGGACGAGCAAAGGUUAAGCUUGGGGGAGCUUGUUGAUGGUCCUUAAUGCUCACAUUUAUCCAUCAACUAAUCAUGGAAAAGGAUCCAAAUGCAACUAACACCUAGAGUUAGGGUUUUAUCUGACAGAAUUCCACGAGUUUUGGUGUUUGUCUAUUUCUGUAGGGGGUUAUCAGGAAAUACGGAAGAAAGGCCCACACGUCAGGUUUACAUAGAGAUAUUAACGUGCCGCGCAAUUUUCUACCAUCUAGAAGACUCCAGAAGCCACGGGAACGAAUGGGAAGGAAAUCGGGCUCGGAGGCAGGGCGCCCGCCCAACUCUCCUGGGCGCCCGCCCAGCUACAGUGCCCAAUCAGAACACGUUUCGCGGAUUAUGCUCCACCGACCUAAAGGAUCAAGGAAAACCGUGCGAUCAAUGUCGGUUUGAUCCGACGGCCCAGAUUCACUUGAAGGGACUAUAAAACCAGACCCCCUGGCCCCUGGAGAUCAUACCUCUUCUACAGAAUCAAAGCUAGGGUUUCAAUUCUUCAUCCAAGUAGAGAGGAUCCCUCUAGUUAUUCUAGUUCUACCUCUAGUUCAUCUAGAUCUAGUUCUAGUUCAUCUAGUUCUAGUUCAAGUUCCUCUAGUUCUAGUUCUAGUUAGUUCUAGUUGUAAUCUAGAAAAUAGGGAGAGAGAAGAGGAGAGCGGAGGAGGAGGAGCCAGAUCUGUCAGAUCUUCCUCAACAUUGUACUUUUGCAGCAACUGGUUCGUUCUUCAUCGUUCUCCAGGUUCUUCAAUUCAUAAUUCCUGAGUUCUCUAAUUACUUUUAUUUACAUUCAAGUUAUUUAUUAGAUUCCUGCUUGCAUCAAGUGCUCUAAUCUUUGAAACAUUAGAGUAGUAAUUAAUAGAUUAGACGUGGUGUUUAGUCUUGCAAUUACCUGGAAUUGCACCCAAUCCUGCGGAUUGUUGUGGUAGCCUUAGGGUAGUGACAGCCCUAACGGUCGACGUAUUCCACCUCGUUCGGAUCGGUGUUUGUAGGACCGUAGUCGGAGCUUCCUAGCCCCCUUCUCAUCUCUUUCUGUGGUUAGUGUUCUGAUGUCCUGAUAUAGAUAAUCUUGAAGUAUUUCUUGAUUCUUAGAUCAACUAGAGAACUCUCAGAAAACUUCCUCUCUUCCCUCCAAAAAUAAUCAUAUAGUUAUCCUUGGGCGAUCUUGGAUCUUAAUUAGUACACUCACGUUCCCUGUGGAAAAUCGAUACUGUGGAAUACUCCCGGGUGAAGGCUACAUCGGUAUCCGUGCGCUUGCGGAUUUUUUUGUUUGCGUUUAAAAUACCCAACAGUCAAUUACCUAGACUUGGAUCAAACUUUCUUUUUAUUUUAUUUAAAACUUAGGAUUACACAAAACUAUUUUAUAUUACUCAAAAGAAAAACUUUGUGUGGUUUCAUGAUUAUACCAUUUUUUUAUUUAUUUCUGAAUACUAGUAAAUAAAACCAAGAAAGAAAAGUAAUACUUAUCUAGAUACACGUGGGGUUGCCUGUAACAGAACCGUCCAAAUUAUUAGAGAUUAAGCCUAAUAGUGACCAUUUGCAGAGUCAAACCAUCGAGCUUAAACCCAUAUAAUCUCGGUAGUCCGUGAAAUCUCGAGGGAUUUCAAACCACAAUUCGUACAUACAGCCAAGAUCGUAAUAAGUUUAGCGGCCACCAUUCACAAUUACAUCCAGUUCACAACAUUCAUCAAUUACAUCAGAGUGCUUAAAAUUAUUACAAACCAAGUUCUCAAGUAGCGGAAGCUUCAUAGUUUGAAAGUAACACACACACAAAUUCAGUUCGAUACAGUGCCAUAGUUUGGUCAUUCCCGUAAAAGCAAAAGAGAAGAUAGAGUGACCAUCGCCCUUGGUCUAGUCAUCGCCCAUGGCUGGGUACAGGCACAGGAUGCAAUAACCAUAGUACAUUUGACCAUCUGCAAAACAACAUGGGAAUAGAUCCCUGAGUACGGGAAUGUACUCAGCUAGACUUAUCUGUCAUAAACCAAAAAUAAAGACUCUUCAAGGAUCAUGAGGACUGUAUAGUGGGGUAGCGGAGACUUUUUUGCAUAAAAGCAUUAUUCCCCUAAACAUAGUCUAGAGACCAUUCUUCUUUUAAUUAGCUCAAGUUUGAUAAUAUCAUUACCUAUUAUCUAGGUUUGCACCUGUACUAUUACAAGCAAGUGUAGUAAUAUGAUGGUACCUCGUCAUAGCAUUCAUAAAUCAUUUAUCAUCAUAACCCAAGUGUUCCAUAAUCCGUACUACGAGGAUAAAGCUCAUGUCAAGUGCUCACUAUCUAGGAGCGAUGGCGAUUCGAAUCGAUUUCGAACUAGCUGGCGAGUUAUUCCCCACACAAACCACACUCACUGAUCAAGUGAGCUACAGAUCACCGUGUUACACUAUCCAGGACCAAUUCGUAGAUUCGGCAGGCACCGCCAGUACCCGAGGACCGUUCCGGCGACCGAGGUAUCCAAGGUAUACCAAGGUUGCGCGUCGCGCCCUCGUCGUUCUCCUCAACCUUCACCAAUACAGCGCAUGGCGGCUUGACUCCCGGCUCGGAUAGUGUUCAGGCUUCGCGGUCGGAACGACUUAUCCUUCCAGCUAAGUGUGGGGCAUGCGUUCAACAUGACAAGAUAGCCGUCAACGAUCGGUCCUUAAUUGACACAGGCAGGGGCACUAUGAUCAACCCACUGUUGACGGUCCUUAAGUAUCAAAUUUAAUUAUCAAAUAAACAAAGAAAAGGAUCCAAAUGAAAUCAACGUCUAGACUUAGGGUUUUAUCUGACAGAAUUCCACGAGUUUUGGUGUUUGUCUAUUUCUGCAGGGGGUUAUUAGGAAAUAAGGAAGAAAGGCCCACAUGUCGGGAUUACAUAGAGAUAUCAACCCACCGCGCAAUUUUAUACCAUCUAGAAGACUCCAGAAGCCACGGGAAGGAAGCGGAGCCCGAAAGGGGCCAGGCCCAGGGCGCCCGCCCUGAGGACCUGGGCGCCCGCCCCCCUCUGGACUCCGUUCCGGACUCUCUUCGCACACGACGUUCCACCGACCUAUUGGAUCUAGAAUAACAUAGUACCACCUCGCCUAUCGACCCAAAAACGCAUAGAAGGGGAGGACUAUAUAAGGAGACCCCCUCUGGCCCCUGGAGGAGACAAGAAAUUAUCAUAGAGAUUGAGGGGUGCCCUCGAAGGAAAACCACUUCUCUAAAUAAUAAUUCUUUUUAGGCUUAGCAACCAAUGUAAAGUAGAAAUAGAUCUUCUAGUUUCUACUAGACUGAGAGAGAUAGAGUGGAGGUGUGGAUCGGAGGAAGACCGGCCUGUCGGUGUCUACUCCGAGUUGUACCUACGGGAUCAAGUCUCCUAACCCGAGGCUUGCUUCUAAGAUUCUUCAGUAAUUCGACUUCUAAUACUAGUAAGUUCUUGUUUUAUUGUUCUUUGGUUUAUGAGUUUACUUUAAUCCUCUUCCGGUUGAGUAUUAGAGUAAUCACUUGCUAGCGUAAACGUGGUGUUUAGGCUAGGGUACUCAUAGAUAUCCCCUGACUAGCUGGACCGUGGUAGUAGCGAGGAACUUGACAAUUCCGAGUUACCUUUGCAGAUCACAUCUCGUUAGCAGGACGGGUAGGGUUAUAGGUGCGGGUCGAACAUCCUUUGUGUUGUCUAGAUUCCGUGAGCCUCCCCAAUAGAACAUUAGAUCAUCCUUACCAAGGUUAGAACGAGACUACGGUUGCAAUCUUCUCUAUACAUCACUCACAUCGAGAGACAUUCUUUGUAGCCUAAAGGGGUAAUAGCAAUAGAUUUGGUUAGUCAGAUGCACCCUUUCUCCCAGUGGUAAAAAUAUAAAUACGAUAACUCUGGAUAACCUCCCGGGUGAAAUGCUCACCGAUAUCCGUGCGCUUGCGGAUCAUUUCCUUAUUGCGUUACCAAAUAUCAACAAGCAUUUCUGGCGCCGUUGCCGGGGAGAAAGACGGUUUGCUGAGAUAACUUUGAGUCUUGCUAUUAUCUUGUAUUAUACUUUUAUACUUUUAUCUUUUUAUUUUUAUCUUUAUGGAUAACUCAAAUUAUAUACCUAUUAUUAAAUUCUUUGCACCUUCGGAGACCAGCCAUAGACCAUGGGAGUCAACACGUCCUGCCCCUAAUUAUGAUCUGUGUCCGGAGUUGAUUGCAGUAGGUCAAAACCAACCCUUUUCUAUAGCCGAGGUCCUAUCUUUUAAUCAAGAAGAUAAUGCACUUUUAGCUACACCUAGGGAAUCUAUUAAUCUUUCUAUAAAUUCUUGUUUAGACCUAGCCCUACAAGACCAUGUUUUUCCUAGAUAUUUUCACAUUGGUCUUAAUCAUAUAACCUUUGGUAGAGUCCUUCUUUCUUUAUCUAUUAGUAAAGGAAGGUAUGUCUUCAUUCGUGGAUAUCCUUCUUGUACUAGUCUUCAUAGAAAAAUCUUAGAAAUAGAGAAGGAAUCAUCUCCCAGACGAGGAAAGGAAGUUUCAAUAGCCGAUUUCCAAACAUUUCAAUCCCAUAAUUCGGCUAUCCAUCCCAUCCUUGAGCUUAAUAAAUUCUACGAUGCUCUUUCUCUUAAACCUCCCGAUAAUCCUAUGAAUUUCUCUAGACAUCCCCUGCAUAAGAAGGAGGAUCGAGAAGAGCAACAUCAAUGGCUAGAGGGCAUUAAAAAUCCAUGUGCUAUCACCAUUGAAUGGAUAGAUAAAACAAACUUGAGAGACAAUCCUAGAGGAAUUUUAAGCAUUCAUGAAGAAUCAUCCUUGGAGUUUGAGAAUGAGCGAAACAACAGUGAGCAUGGAAGUUAUUUCAUCAAUACCUUACCAAGUCCUUGCUCAUAUAAAACAUCUCCCCAAUCAAUCGGUCUCUCCAUCAUCACCACAUUUGAGAUCUCCAACCCCCUCUUCCUUUCUAUUUAUAUAAACUUUAAAAGAGCGGUUGUCGAUGCAUAUGUCUAUAAUAAAUAUUGCAGAUCUCGAUAUAGGUCAGCGUUGGAGGGGAAACCACUUCACUGACAUAAAUUGAUGGUUUCCCAAAGCUUAGCGUCCUUAAACAAGCACUUAUCAGAUCAUAACAUGAACUUUUAAUUAUUUGCAACAUUGCCUUGUGUAUUGAGCAUAUUGAGAUAAUUAUAGAAAUAUUCCUUUGGGUAUUCUUGCCACUAACCUUUCCAGGAUUGAAGCAAGAAGAUCGGAUGAAUGACAAGCGCAAGGUAUGCCCAACCAAUCAUCAUGCAACAUUAAAUUAAAUUCAUCCAAACUUGAAUUUUGUAAAAUUCAAGCUUGGGGGAGUACUUUACAUAAAAACAUCUUUUGCCAUGUUGCUACGUUGGUUGUCCUUACCUUUGAGACAUGCUCAAUUUGUUAAAUACUAAUCACACUACUUCAUCUCCACUUAAGUAGAUCUUUAUAAGCCAUCAUGCUACCUUUGUUUAUCCUAGUAAGUGUUAGUUUGGAAGUACUGUACAUACUUCUAUUGGCUUUUAAAUUAUGCGUGGUGCUUAGGUUAAAUAGCCUCCCUUAAUCUGAUUAGACAUGGAGUCUAGUUUGGUUACUGAACUAAAAACUGCUUGAGUAGGCAUUGGUAUAUUGUGUCGGACUAGCCCCUACAGGAAAACAUUCAAUAUCAACUUGGGAAGUCCUGAGAUAAACUCACAUUGGAGAUGAAGAAAGUGACACAUGAAGUUUAACGAUUUGCACAAGGAAGACAUAGCUCAUUCAUCAUAAGAGAUGAUCCAUAGAGGGUGCCACAAACACGAUGCACAACCGCUACGAAAGGAAAGCUUCUACAAGGUGAUAUUGUACCGCCACUCUUCAAGUAAGGUAACAUUCUAAGGUACUUGACUAUCGCUUUUAUAAGUUUCUCCUUGGUCCUAGCAUUCACAUAAAUAAAGAGACAAACAUGUAUGAUUUGUAGCUCCAAAUUAAUCAACCCAAUUAAUUCAACAUGUUUAGUCCUUUAAUCUUUGUUCUUAGUACUACCUUCAUGAUCCCACACUCCUAAUCAUAUAAGCUAAUAUGUUGCACAUUCAAUCUUUGGAAGAUAUAAACAAAACAUAAAUAUAGAUAGAUUAUCUUUCCAUUAGGUUGAGCCAUCUGAUCUAACAAAUGUUUUAAAUGCUACACUCAUGAUCCAUCAACUUUGUCUUGCUCACUAUGCUUAAGGUCAGAGAAGAACAAAUACACUUUUGGUUCUGCUGGUGUUUUCCACCAACAGGGCCCAUGCACUUGAUCUCUGCCUUGUCUCUAUGAGCAGGACACAUUUUGAGAAUUGUGAAGGCGUUUUACAACUCCCAGAUUCCAUCAAGUGAAGAACCGGGAUCUACAAGCACAAACACAAUGGAGAUCAGGCGAUAACUUUUCCAAAAGGAAUAUUGAAGAACCUUUGUGUCCGAGUUGGUACCUUGUACGCUCCAGCAAACUUCGUGGUGAUAGAGACUGACACUAAGGAGAGGGCACCCAUCAUCUUAGGGAGACCAUUCCUAAACACCAGAAGUGUCAUCUACGCUAAUGCUGCCAAGAUCAGUCUCUACAUCAAGGGGAAGAAGGAGACUUUCCUUCAAGAACAAGACUACACAAACUUCAGUACAAUCCCGACAUGAACCAAGGAAGAGGACCAACAGGAGGAACAGGAUCAAGCAAAUGUGGACCGAGUCAGCUAAGAUGGUCACUGCAGCUCAAGGAGGUCAAGAUCGUCGACUCAAGUCACCUUUCUUGAUCAAGAAGGACGACCCUGGUGUUCCAAGAAUCGAAUGCACAAACAAUGGAUACUCUUUUUAGAAGACACUCUACGACACCGGAUCUGACGACAACAUAAUGGCCGCAGUCACUUAUCAGCUCCUGCAUAGAACCAUGCCCCUACAACCAAGAUACAUUCAGCUUCAAACAAUUUUCAGGUCAUUGACAUGGGAGAAGACGAGUAUGAUCCAUCCACCAUCCUUGGAAGACCAAUCCUCAGCACUAUCAAAGUCAUUAUCUAUAUUGGAACCGGAGAAAUCCACAUGCACUUCCCCUCUGAGAAGGUAUGCCACUACUUUAAUGAUUCUAACUAUAUAGUUGAAGAUUCUAAGCAGGUCAGGACAAGAAGAAGACAAACCGCAACCAGAGGAGGCAAAUCAGACAGAUGGGUAGACUACGAAGGAGAAGUGAUAAGGACUGAAGACAUACAACUUGAACAGAACUGUCCUGAGGAGACCGUAACACCGAGUCAGGUAUGGAAAAUGAAGAUAACUAUAAAUGAAGAGGAGGCGCUGCCGGAACCACCGACUACGCCACCCAGCAAAUCCCAGUACGACUAAGAAAACGGAGAGUCCCGUUCGGAUGACUUAAAAAUACCGAACGCCUUGCCAAGAGGUAAACUUGGUAGUUAUUCAUUUCCUUUCAAUUAUUCAAUUAUAGUUUGCUUAGUUAAUCAGGUUUAUGCUAUCUUGAAAAGAAAAUAAAAAUGCUAAAAAAAAUAGUAAGCCCCAUGUGAGUAUGCUCAUGGCAUAAAACCCAUAGGUACAUUGACUGUGGUGGCAUAAAAAUAAAAUAAAUAUUUUUCUGCUUUAUAAAAACAAGAAUAUAAAAACAGGGAGUAAUAUUUAUUAAGGAGUCUCAACAUGAUAAAGGCUAGAUAUUUAUGCUAACACUUAAUCAGUUCCACAAGCUUUGUUGUCUAUUUGAGCUCCACAGAAUUUAAGAAUCAAGAAGACUAGCAGACGGAGGACAUUCUAAUCGCUGUCAAAAUACUGCUGACUUUCAAACACACCUCUACCACCUGCUAGCUACAUCAAGAGAAAUUACGUCAAAAUCCAGCUAGGGGGAGAGCACCCCCAUUUAUCUCGCUAAGUAUUUCUACCUAUCUUUAUACUUAUAUUAUGUUAGAAUAUUAAAAUACAUAAACUAUGAAAACCCAAAUAAAGAUUUUGUGCUUUUAUAUAUAUCUUUGCUUAGUUUGCUAAAUAAAUAAAUAAAUAAAAUUUGCUGUGAACCCUCAUGAUAAGCUCUCUCAUGGAAAUGAUGAAUAAUUGCUCUGCCGUGACUAGUUCUUAAAAUUGAAAUCUCUCUCAAGUUUAGGCAUAACUGUUAUAAUUUAAAGCUUGCUCUAGACCUAAACUUGUGGGAUGAAAACUUGAUCUGAAGUCUAAGUUGUUAACGGAUACGAUAUGGGAAGGUUGAGCUGCUGUUUAUCUGUUCCUAGAGAUGCUAGAAUUCUGGAAAAUUUUAUCUUUGAAAAUCUUUAAAAUGUUGCAUGAUGAGUUCCCGUAUGAUGAGAGUUUAAAUUCCUACCACAGCCAUAUAUACAUGCUUGCUAGACCUUGAGCCACACAUUUACUAUUUACUGCUUAGGAGCUCUUGAGCCACACAUUUACUGCUGUGUAGACCCUUAGGAGCUUGUCAUGUGGUUAAAUCAAGAUUCACUUGCACGUUCACUCAUACAUGCUACUUCUACUCCGAAAGUACCAUCCACAUAUAUCCACUCAUUUCCAUCUUCAAAACCACCCAAAAGUAUUCUACUCCUAAUCCGGGAGAGAAUAACCAAAAAUAUUUCUGUUUCCCCUUGUGAAAUAAAUGCUCAAGUUAUCUUGUUACUACCACUUGCUAUAUUAUCUCAAGAGAUGAAUGCUCUAAAAAAAGAGAAAAAGAAAAUAAAAGAUACGGGGAAAUAAAAAGGAGCAAGUGCUCGGAACCUCGAAAGAAAAUAAAAAAAAGAAGAGCAUCUCAUUCUCCCCAUAAAGUUUCAAAAGCAAGGAAGGUAUGUAUCCCCUCAAAGAGCAAAGUAGAAUUAGACCUCCACCACCAUUGUUAUCACCAUCAUCACCAUACACCAUUCAUUCGCCACACAUGCACAUCUUGAUUUGGCUUAUUGAUUUGUUUCUUUGGAUCCAUGGUUUGACUAUGCAAUAAAUGUCUUGUAAGUAUGUAUACUUUAUCUCCCACCUAUGAGCUCCAGAUAUUAAAGCCUUAUUAGAGUAGGGUGAGAGAGUAGACAAUGACACUAUGCUUCAUACCACAAAUACUACAUAUUUUGAGAGAAGGCAUAUACCUUCACUGCCUUGGUAAGGAUCGAAAAAUACCACAAAAGAGAGACCUGAGAGAAUCAUACAUGGAAUUUCUGAAUUUUAUUUGAAAAUCUUCAAAAACCCCAGAGCUAUAGCUGAUCAAGAAUAAGAGACAUGGCACUUGGCUAGACUGUUCUAUCUUUUAACCACUCAAGACAGAAGUGACGGUUACAAGUCCUAUGGUGAAAGGUAAAAUGAGUAAGUUUUAAGUCUUAACAGUUUAUUCUAACUCAGAGAUGAGAUCUUGCUUAAAUGCGUGUGUACUUCUAAGAAAUGAAACUACUGCAGAAACUCUUGAGUUCAUCCUUGCUAAGGGACGAGCAAGAGGUAAGCUUGGGGGAGUUUGUUGACGGUCCUUAAGUAUCAAAUUUAAUUAUCAAGUAAACAAAGAAAAGGAUCCAAAUGAAAUCAACAUCUAGACUUAGGGUUUUAUCUGACAGAAUUCCACGAGUUUUGGUGUUUGUCUAUUUCUGCAGGGGGUUAUUAGGAAAUAAGGAAGAAAGGCCCACAUGUCGGGAUUACAUAGAGAUAUCAACCCACCGCGCAAUUUUCUACCAUCUAGAAGACUCCAGAAGCCACAGGAAGGAAGCGGAGCCCGAAAGGGGCCAGGCCCAGGGCGCCCGCCCUGAGGACCUGGGCGCCCGCCCCCCUCUGGACUCCGUUCCGGACUCUCUUCGCACACGACGUUCCACCGACCUAUUGGAUCCAGAAUAACAUAGUACCACCUCGCCUAUCGACCCAAAAACGCAUAGAAGGGGAGGACUAUAUAAGGAGACCCCCUCUGGCCCCUGGAGGAGACAAGAAAUUAUCAUAGAGAUUGAGGGGUGCCCUCGAAGGAAAACCUCUUCUCUAAAUAAUAUUUCUUUUUAGGCUUAGCAACCAAUGUAAAGUAGAUAUAGAUCUUCUAGUUUCUACUAGAUUGAGAGAGAUAGAGUGGAGGUGUGG